GAUUCUGCACUCUUCAGCAAGGGCUUGAUUUUGAAGAACAGCUUCAUCCAGGGCCAGUGCUUGACAUUCAUGAAUGCACGAAUGUUGUACUGGAUGCAGAAGAUGGACUCUCUGAAUGGAAGCCCCUGCACCUGGCCUGUGUGCGAGUAAUGAGCUGUGCCAGCUUCUCAUCCCUCAUCUCCUCCAAAAGGCCUACCAGCCCGGCUUUGAAGAACACCUUAGGACUCUGUUGGGAAAUCCUUUCCUGCAAAUUCUGAUCCCUUCCAGCACACCGUUACACCGCAGCUGGUGCAGUACUAGUUCAUGCUCCAUGGCACCUAACAAUUCAGAGCACAAAUGGAUGUUGUAUUCUGUAAUAUAUCAGGGAAGACCUGCACCAUAUUGAAAACUUUCUGUAUGAGGGAUAUACUGAUACUUCUCUGAUGCAGUUUGAAGCAUACUACAGUAGACGUUUAAGACAUGACUAUGGCGCUUCCCAACUUCUGCCUAGUUCUUUAAAAAGAGAAGACUCAGAAAACUGGAGGCGUGGGUUCUAGCUCCUGCUCUGACAGAGAGGAAUCAAAUC